CUCCGGAACUCCACCGCCACCUGGGCCCGCCGUUGCCAUCGUUCUUCCUGGAUAAACUCGGAUCUUUCGCCCUGACAGCUACCUUCGGAAAUCCAUUUGUUAUUCGGUCCCCUCCAGCCAUACUUCCGCUUUGACUCAAGUGCCAACCCCUGAAGAAUCCAUUCCGACUUUUCGUCCCCA